rnacentral:rRNA from 1 species
GCAAGUCGAACGAAGUAGCAAUACUUAGUGGCAGACGGGUGAGUAACAUGUAGGUAUCUGCCCUUUGGCCUGGAAUAACACGAGGGAACUUGUGCUAAUACCGGAUAAGUCUUUACGGAGAAAGCUUUAUGCACCAUUGGAUGAGCCUGCACUUGAUUAGUUUGUUGGUGGGGUAAUGGCCUACCAAGACUGUGAUCAAUAGCUGAUUUGAGAGGAUGAUCAGCCACAUUGGGACUGAGACACGGCCCAAACUCCUACGGGAGGCAGCAGUGGGGAAUCUUGCACAAUGGAGGAAACUCUGAUGCAGCGAUGCCGCGUGAGUGAAGAAGGCCUUUGGGUUGUAAAGCUCUUUCGUCGGGGAAGAAAAUGACUGUACCCGAAUAAGAAGGUCCGGCUAACUUCGUGCCAGCAGCCGCGGUAAUACGAAGGGACCUAGCGUAGUUCGGAAUUACUGGGCUUAAAGAGUUCGUAGGUGGUUGAAAAGUUGGUGGUGAAAUCCCAGAGCUUAACUCUGGAACUGCCAUCAAAACUUUUCAGCUAGAGUAUGAUAGAGGAAAGCAGAAUUUCUAGUGUAGAGGUGAAAUUCGUAGAUAUUAGAAAGAAUACCAACUGCGAAGGCAGCUUUCUGGAUCAUUACUGACACUGAGGAACCAAAGCAUGGGUAGCGAAGAGGAUUAGAUACCCU